rnacentral:rRNA from 1 species
CACGUAGGGGGCGAGCGUUGUCCGGAAUUAUUGGGCGUAAAGGGCUCGUAGGCGGUCUGUCGCGUCGGGAGUGAAAACUCAGGGCUUAACCCUGAGCCUGCUUCCGAUACGGGCAGACUAGAGGUAUGCAGGGGAGAACGGAAUUCCUGGUGUAGCGGUGAAAUGCGCAGAUAUCAGGAGGAACACCGGUGGCGAAGGCGGCUCUCUGGGCAUUACCUGACGCUGAGGAGCGAAAGUGUGGGGAGCGAACAGG